CAUGCAGCCGAGCGGUAGAGAUCUUUCGGGAUCUUGAGAGCGGCGUACGGGUGCGGAACACGUGUGCAACCUGCCUUUAUCAGGGGGAUAGCCUUUCGAAAGGAAGAUUAAUACCCCAUAAUAUAUUGAGUGGCAUCACUUAAUAUUGAAAACUCCGGUGGAUAGAGAUGGGCACGCGCAAGAUUAGAUAGUUGGUGAGGUAACGGCUCACCAAGUCUGCGAUCUUUAGGGGGCCUGAGAGGGUGAUCCCCCACACUGGUACUGAGACACGGACCAGACUCCUACGGGAGGCAGCAGUGAGGAAUAUUGGACAAUGGGUGCGAGCCUGAUCCAGCCAUCCCGCGUGAAGGACGACGGCCCUAUGGGUUGUAAACUUCUUUUGUAUAGGGAUAAACCUACUCUCGUGAGAGUAGCUGAGGUACUAUACGAAUAAGCACCGGCUAACUCCGUGCCAGCAGCCGCGGUAAUACGGAGGGUGCAAGCGUUAUCCGGAUUUAUUGGGUUAAAGGGUCCGUAGCGGAUCUGUAAGUCAGUGGUGAAAUCUCACAGCUUAACUGUGAACUGCAUUGAUACUGCAGGUCUUGAGUGUGUUGAGUAGCUGGAUAAGUAGUGUAGCGGUGAAAUGCUAGAUAUACUUAGAACACCAUUGGCGAAGCAGUACUAAGCACACUGACCUGAUGGACAAAGCUGGAAGCA
rnacentral:rRNA from 1 species